UGCUACUCUGCUGACGAGCGGCGGACGGGUGAGUAAUGCUUGGGAAUAUGCCUUAUGGUGGGGGACAACAGUUGGAAACGACUGCUAAUACCGCAUGAUGUCUACGGACCAAAGUGGGGGACCUUCGGGCCUCACGCCAUAAGAUUAGCCCAAGUGGGAUUAGCUAGUUGGUGAGGUAAUGGCUCACCAAGGCGACGAUCCCUAGCUGGUUUGAGAGGAUGAUCAGCCACACUGGGACUGAGACACGGCCCAGACUCCUACGGGAGGCAGCAGUGGGGAAUAUUGCACAAUGGGCGCAAGCCUGAUGCAGCCAUGCCGCGUGUGUGAAGAAGGCCUUCGGGUUGUAAAGCACUUUCAGUAAGGAGGAAAGGUUAAGUGUUAAUAGCACUUAGCUGUGACGUUACUUACAGAAGAAGCACCGGCUAACUCCGUGCCAGCAGCCGCGGUAAUACGGAGGGUGCGAGCGUUAAUCGGAAUUACUGGGCGUAAAGCGUACGCAGGCGGUUUGUUAAGCGAGAUGUGAAAGCCCCGGGCUCAACCUGGGAACUGCAUUUCGAACUGGCAAACUAGAGUGUGAUAGAGGGUGGUAGAAUUUCAGGU
rnacentral:rRNA from 1 species